UAAUCCCGGCGCCCCAAAUGGUGACCGCGUUUAUUGGGCCUACAGCAUCCGUAGCCGGUCAAGUAAGUUUUCGGUGAAAUCCGGCGGCUUAAUCGUCGGGCGUGCCGGAAAUACUACUUGACUUGAGAUCGGGAGGAGCUGGGGGAAUGCCAUGGGGAGCGGUAAAAUGUUGUAAUCCAUGGUGGACCAUCGGUGGCGAAGGCGCCCAGCUAGAACGAGUCUGACGGUGAGGGAUGAAAGCUAGGGGAGCGAUCGGGAUUAGAUACCCCGGUAGUCCUAGCCGUAAACGCUGCCUGUUUGGUGCUGCAUUUCUUUCGAGGAGACGCAGUUCCGUAGCGAAGGUGUUAAACAGGCCGCCUGGGGAGUACGGUCGCAAGGCUG
rnacentral:rRNA from 1 species